rnacentral:rRNA from 1 species
GACGGAGGAUGCAAGUGUUAUCCGGAAUCAUUGGGCGUAAAGCGCGCGUAGGUGGCUUCGUAAGUCCGUUGUGAAAGUCAAAGGCUCAACCUUUGAAAGCCGAUGGAUACUGUGGAGCUAGAGUACGGAAGAGGCGAGUGGAAUUCCUGGUGUAGCGGUGGAAUGCGCAGAUAUCAGGAGGAACACCAAUAGCGAAGGCAGCUCGCUGGGACGGUACUGACGCUGGAGGAGCGAAAGCUGGGGAG